rnacentral:misc_RNA from 1 species
ACGAGUGCGGCCCCCUCGGGGUGCCAACCUCCCACCCGUGUCUAUUGUACCACGUUGCUUCGGCGGGCCCGCCCCUAUCCGUAGGGGCCGUCGGGGGCAUUGUCCCCGGGCGUGCGCCCGUCGAGGACCCCACGAACGCUGUCUGAAGACUGCCGUCUGAGUGGAUUGAUAAAUCAGUCA